rnacentral:rRNA from 1 species
UAGGGAAUCUUCGGCAAUGGACGGAAGUCUGACCGAGCAACGCCGCGUGAGUGAAGAAGGUUUUCGGAUCGUAAAGCUCUGUUGUUAGAGAAGAACGUUGGUAGGAGUGGAAAAUCUACCAAGUGACGGUAACUAACCAGAAAGGGACGGCUAACUACGUGCCAGCAGCCGCGGUAAUACGUAGGUCCCGAGCGUUGUCCGGAUUUAUUGGGCGUAAAGCGAGCGCAGGCGGUUCUUUAAGUCUGAAGUUAAAGGCAGUGGCUUAACCAUUGUACGCUUUGGAAACUGGAGGAGUUGAGUGCAGAAGGGGGGAGUGGAAUUCCAUGUGUAGCGGUGAAAUGCGUAGAUAUAUGGAGGAACACCGGUGGCGAAAGCGGCUCUCUGGUCUGUAACUGACGCUGAGGCUCGAAAGCGUGGGGAGCAAACAGG